rnacentral:rRNA from 2 species
UUGACCUCGGAUCAGGUAGGGAUACCCGCUGAACUUAAGCAUAUCAAUAAGCGGG